ACAUGCCUACAACAUAGCAUUAAUAAAUUGGAUCCCAUUAGAAAUUCACAGUUAAGCGUGCUCGGGCUAGAGUAGUAAUGGGAUGGGUGACCGCCUGAGAAAUCCUAGUGUUUUACAUGCC
rnacentral:rRNA from 1 species